AUACCCCUUGUCGGGGUUUGUACAGAGUUGGUUAAAUCCGCUCUUUUGCUCCCCACUUACAUGGCUAAUAAUCUCCAAGCUGCUCUAAGCGGUGUUGUUUGAGUGAAUAUUGUUUUACAUAAAGUUAAUAACCCCCCUAAACCGAUAUAUGAAAUUACCUCUGCCCCUAUCUAUAAAGCGUGAGAUACAUUUUUAAAACCAGUGAUUUAAUUCAAAAGAUUUUGUACCUACAUUUUAACACAUUCCAAAAUGUUUACUAUUUCUUACAGAUAAAGGGUCCUGUUAGCCCCGACCUGUAACUGACAGUUAGACUUACAGGUUAUGUCGUUGUCUUUUGUUUGAAUUGUUUAUGUGUCCGCUGUGCGGGGGAAAUGAUAAUACAAGCGGAACUAUGUAGCUAAUACUGUUGUAACGGGGAUCCUUAUUGUAGCAACACACUUUUGGGAAAUCCUGCACUGCGUUAACUAAGUUUUCAUGUCAUCGGGUGUAGUUCAUAAAGGUUGAAGAGUGUAUGUUAGGAUGAAGUGUGAAUUCAUGCCAGGAAUAAUAAGUGUGAAGUUUGAUUUCCUCCCUUCUGUAAUAAGCAGCCAAUGAGUUCUCACGGAAGGGGAUAAUUCUCACUGAAACUACAGAAUAAAGCCGCCAGUUAAAAUCAAGGAACGGUUGUGCUCGUGGUUACUAAAGGGAGCGACACGACCAUUAUCCGUUUCGAAUUCACCAACUCAAAGACGCUUGCCCGCUCCAUCAUAACUCCGUAAGUUUUCCCUCCCUGUGUAGAUCAAACGUCCUGCCUGUAAAUCCUGGGUAUGCCCACAUCAUUAAUGAAUAAGAUGUGUAGAAAACUGUUUAGCCAUAGUUAAAGGCCUUUCAUAAAGCAGCUGUCAUGAUUGCAUGUUACAGAAUACUACUGUUGUACAUCUAAUAUCCCCUAGCAGAUUUCGUUGCCUUUGCACAAAUUCUGUCAUGUUACUGCGGUAUUUUUAAAAGUCAAUAAAUAUGUGUGUAGCGUGUACAUGUUUGUUUCACUGUAGAUCUGUUUAAGCCCUCCUAGAAACACCUAAUUAAAGGCCUUUCAUAAAGAGGCUGUCAUGAUUGCAUGUGCCUCAUGUUUAACACGUAUUUCUUGUUACAGAAUACUACUGUUGUACAUCUAAUAUCCCCUAGCAGAUUUCGUUGCCUUUGCACAAAUUCUGUCAUGUUACUGUGGUCUUUUUAAAAGUCAAUAAAUAUGUGUGGAAAGUGUA